ensembl:snRNA U6 U6 spliceosomal RNA
GUGUUCACGGGAGCAUAUAUACUAAAAUUGGAAUGACACAGAGAAGAUUACCAUGGCCCCUGUGCAAGGAUGACAUGCAAAUUUGUGAAGCAUUCCACAUUUUU